rnacentral:rRNA from 1 species
AGCGAACGCUGGCGGCAGGCUUAACACAUGUAAGUCGAACGCAUCCUUCGGGAUGAGUGGCAGACGGGUGAGUAACACGUGGGAACGUACCCUUCGGUUCGGAAUAACUCUGGGAAACUAGAGCUAAUACCGGAUACGCCCUUUUGGGGAAAGGUUUACUGCCGAAGGAUCGGCCCGCGUCUGAUUAGCUAGUUGGUGGGGUAACGGCCUACCAAGGCGACGAUCAGUAGCUGGUCUGAGAGGAUGAUCAGCCACACUGGGACUGAGACACGGCCCAGACUCCUACGGGAGGCAGCAGUGGGGAAUAUUGGACAAUGGGCGCAAGCCUGAUCCAGCCAUGCCGCGUGAGUGAUGAAGGCCUUAGGGUUGUAAAGCUCUUUUGUCCGGGACGAUAAUGACGGUACCGGAAGAAUAAGCCCCGGCUAACUUCGUGCCAGCAGCCGCGGUAAAAC